GAUAACCUUGGUGAGAAAAUGAAAAGACCUGUAAUUGCGUGAAAAUAUAGAUUGAUCUUCUUUCGGAGUUGUCGUUUGCUCUGUACAUGUGUUGAGUUCCUGCUAACUUGACAAGCGCUGCCUACUUGCUGAGGUUACAAAGAUGAGUAAGAUAUGCUCCCUGCCCCUAGGAAAUCAUAGCUAGUAGAUGUUUGUAGUUUGUCUGGAACAAAAGAGAGCUAAUGAAGUUUUUCUAUUGCAUUACCUCAUUUGAACUGAUGAGGUGGUACUAUUAUUUUCUUUAUUUUACUCACGAGGAAACUGAGCCUCAUAGAGGUUAAGUUAUUGUAAUGGUCAACUUGUUAUUAUUUGCUCAGUAUCUGUGGUUCUAUUUAGCAAAGGCUGGGAUCGUGUCUGUCCUUUUCACUCUGUAGCCCCAGUGCCUACCACAGUACCUGAACCUAAUGGGUGCUCAAUACACAUUUGAUGGAUUAAUAGAUAUCGGAUUAUUAGUACAUCCAACAAAUAUUGGAUCAUAAAAAAACACUAGUAACAUUAGUCCUCUCACUCUUCAGGUAAGUGCUCUUUUACUAUGCCUUGCUGCCUCUUUAAUUAUAUCUGUUUAGUAUUAACAGAAUGAAUGCUUCAGGUCUGGAAAAAGAAUUAUGUACCACCUAGUUUUUUAAAUAAGGGAAGAGAUUGCCUUUGAAAAGCAGAAGCUGAACACCAUUGCGAAAAUACCAGGAUAAGUCCCCCAGAUUUAAAACUCAACCAUCAAAGUAUUCUUUUCUUUAUGAAGAAACAAUUAUGUCAUAUGUAUCAAGCUUUGCCAUGUUUAAUGGUUUGGAAUCUUUUGGAAUUAGCCAUUAGAAGAGAAGGCAGCAAGUUUGAGGGUCUAGAAGUACCGUGUGUACUUCAUUAGUAAUUUGGAUGGUAUUUAUGAAGCUCAGUUUAUGGCUGAUGCUAAGUAUCAGGGUUAUUAACACUUCAGAAUAUAAGAAUGGAAUUCAAAAUGACCUUGGCAAAAUUGAGAGUUGAUAAUCCUAAAUAGGAACACAUGUAGGCAGGAAGGACAAAUGUACGAUAACUGCAAUGUGCAACUGUGGCAGAAAGGAAUUUAGAGUACAAAUUCAGGAAUCACAGAGUAAUUCUUGCAUUACAUUCUCCAGACUGUUACUGGAAUACUCCUGUCAGUCUUGGGCCUACCAGUUGAAGAGAUUUUUAACAAAGUGGAUGAGAUUCAGAGGAUAUAGAAAAUAAUUAAAGGUUAGAAAUUUGGGAAUGUAAAAACAGAAAACAAGUUGAAUUUUAGUCAUGUAAGUUCCAAAAAAUGUUUACCACUCUUACACCCUUUCUCCAAAGCUACUCCAAAUGUGCUCCACCAAAAUGAGAGGAUGAAGCAAGAUAGGUUAAGACAAUGGAUCCAGCAUCCAGGCAAAGGGAGUUCCAGGAGAUAGGGAAGGGACAGCCUGGGUGGCCAGUGUGCACCUGGUCCAGGACCAUCCAUCUCGCUGAUGCAGUUUACAAGAUUCAAGGAGAGUCUUCUUUAAGAAGGUGAAAAUCAAAACAUUUCUAAUGCAUUUGAACAUUUUCAGAAAAAAGGCUCAACAAAUUGAUGGAGAGUUUGAGGUUCAGUUUAUGAUAGUACACAGAAUAUUUGACAAAACAAACAAAAACCAACUGCAAGGAAACAAGUUGGAGCCAAAAAGAAAGGAAGAAGAAUUAUUGGUAGAACUUACCAAUAAAUACCGCUUAUAUACCGACUCUAACAUAAACAUAUUAACUCUAGCACCUGCCUCACAAGGGCAGCGGGGUGGAAUGGUGGAGAAGAACCCACUUGGGAAGAGAAGCUGAAGAAGCCCCUUAUAGAGAGAGGAUGGCAAAGAAAAGUCAGCCUUUGAAGAAAAGUCCUCCUAAGGAAUAAGGACCACAUGGUCCUCUGGUCCUCCUAAUCCAGAUGCCAAGAAUAAAUGAUCCUGGCUGAUGAAGAUCCACUUGCCACUUCCUCAGCUUUGUGAUUCUGCCUGAAAUGGAUUUCCAGUUGAAAGAUUAAACAACAACAAUAACAACAACCAUCUCUGUGUUGCUGUCUCUCAAAUAUGCUCUUAACAGGUUGGGGAUGCAUCAUCAAAAUCUUCACAACCUUUGAGAUAGGCAGAACAGAAAAGACCCUUUUUCCCAUUACUUCGGUCUCUUGAUUCUUUAUGGUCAUCAAAACAGCUCAAAUAUUGGCUUUUCAUUUCUACUGAUUUGCUGCAGAGUUUUCUAGAGCGAUGUAUGAAGUCCUGCAACAUGUUUGUCUCCCAUUUCACAGCCUCAGAAAGAGCAGUAUUAUAAGAAAAACCAUCAAAUACAGUCUCUUUUGCUGGAUCUUUGCUGUUCCCAGGGUUCCUGCUACAGCUUCAUCUCCUGGCCCCUUCUCUUGGUAAAAUUUGUUCUCACUCUUCUAAGCUCUUCUGAAAUGCACAAGUGCUUUUGCGUACAGCAACAGGAGAGAAGACUUUAAUGUAGAAAUGCCUUAGAAAUAUCUUCUGAUAUUGGGACUUCCUUGGUGACGCAGUGGUUAAUAAUCCGCCUGCCAGUGCAGGUGAUGUGGAUGGGUUCCAGCC